UACGUAGGGUGCGAGCGUGUCCGGAAUUACUGGGCGUAAGAGCUCGUAGGUGGUUGUCGCGUUGUUCGUGAAAACCGGAGGCUCAACCUCUGGCGUGCGGGCGGAUACGGACAGACUAGAGGUAGGUAGGGGAGAAUGGAAUUCCCGGUGGUAGCGGUGAAAUGCGCAGAUAUCGGGAGGAACACCGGUGGCGAAGGCGGUUCUCUGGG
rnacentral:rRNA from 1 species